rnacentral:misc_RNA from 1 species
AUGCUCCAAAAAACGGCCCUAAUUAUUGGGGCGUUAUCACUGAUCGCAGGGGCGUUUUCAGAUGAUUGUCCAUCGUUUUUCACUAAGGAUGACAAUGGAACGUGCACUAUUCGUCAGUGCCUGAAUGGAGGAUACUUGGAUGUUUCCAAACAAAUUUGCAUCUGCCCUUCCGGUUACCUAGGAAUUCAUUGUGAAGCUGAAAAUAUCCAAAAUGCCACGAAUGAAACACUUCCAUGAACCCUUUGACGAAAAAGAAGCUUUGAUCGAUGAAAAUUGUAACGAUGUUGAAAUUGUACCAACCUUCAAAUAUCCAAAAAGAAAACGAACGUUUCCAACAGUAACAAAGCUUCCAAAGUAUCUGCUACUAUUUUUUGGAAGCACAGUAAUAUGUUUGUGCAUUUUUUAUAUAUCGAGACCUCAGUUAAAUGACAACUUUGACCCAAAUAUAUCAGACAAGCGAAAAAUUCGAAUUUAUGAGGAUAUUAUUGAUGCUAUGAGAAAUCGAAAAAAGUCUGGGAAUUUUUAUAUAAAAAGACCAGAAACACAACAUGUUGAUUGUGGAAGAAUAUUGAACGGAGAUAAAGAGUACUUACAAACAUUUUCUAACAAUAAUCGAAUUCCACUCAUCAAAAACUCAUAUUUGAACAUGUCAUGCUCAUCUCUUCAGAGCAGAAUUCAACCUGAACAAUUUAAUUUCAAAACCUUUAAAUCUGGAAGUGUUGCUUUCGCUAGAAUCGUGUUUGAGGAUUACGAGUUUAUCGAGAAACAAGUUCAAAUGUCUUGGCACCCGGAUAACGUAUUUUGUUUUGUUAUCGAUACAAAAUCAUCGAAGGAAUUUAAAACAAAUAUGAAAAAAUUAGCUGAUUGCUUUGAAAAUAUAAUUGUACUACCAUCUAAACAUAGUUUUGAUAGUAGUGGGCAUAAUCAAAAUCUUGGCCAUACCGAAUGCAUGCAAUCUCUUCUUCAAUUCGAAAAUUGGACUUAUUUACUACUUCUUCAAAACCAUGACGUCAUUUCCAAAUCUGUCUACGAAUUGGCUAGAAUUUUUGAAAUACUCGGAGGAGCCAAUGAUGUGAAUAUUGGAAAAGAAAUUGAUCAGAGGCGGGUUCCAGGACUGAAAUGGGAUCCAAAAAACUUGAAGUUGUUUCGAAACGAAUCGGGACUCGAUGAUGAACUUUUGAAGAAACCAAUGAAAAUAGCCAGUGGAUAUGUACAAGCUUCAUUGUCAAGAGCAGCUGUUGAAUGGUUAAUCAAUACAGUGGAUUUAACAUUAUUCAUCAACCAGUUUGAUCGAACGAAAUAUGGUGGAGACGAGCAGCUGAUUUCCAGUUUUCAAGUGAAUUCACAAUUUGAAAUGCCUGGACACUUUACGGACGAGUGUUCCAAAUAUCGUUACGGGCAUGAUCAAAUCUCAAGAAUGACUCAAUGGGCUGGUGGUGAUGUAAAAAGGUGUGCCUCAAAAACCAUACGUCAUGGGAUUUGUCUCAUCGGAAUUGAAGAUUUCAGAGCUGUUUCUGAAAUGCCAGUUAUUAUGUUCAAUAAGAUGUUGCCAUCGUUUGACUACUCCAUAAUUGAUUGCACAGCUGAACUUCUUUUCAAUCGAACGUUCCUGAAUCAGACAAAUAUUAAAUUAAAUGAAAAGUACUAUGAAGAAAUGGUUACGGUUAUUUAUCACAAAGAUCACAAAAAUCCGGGUUAUCAUCUGAAUUGCACCCCCAGUCAUCAAUAUUGGAAAUAUGAAAAUUAUUUGUAA